AGCUUUAUAGUCAAUUUUAAUGAUAUUAGAUUGCAAAUCUAAAGUAGAAUAUUAUUUUCUAAAGCUU
rnacentral:tRNA from 1 species